AGAGCGAACGCUGGCGGCAUGCUUAACACAUGCAAGUCUCACGGGCAGCAAUGUCAGUGGCGGACGGGUGAGUAACGCGUAGGUAUCUAUCCAUGGGUGGGGGAUAACGUCGGGAAACUGACGCUAAUACCGCAUGACAUCUGAGGAUCAAAGGCGCGAGUCGCCUGUGGAGGAGCCUGCGUACGAUUAGCUAGUUGGUGGGGUAAAGGCCUACCAAGGCGACGAUCGUUAGCUGGUCUGAGAGGAUGAUCAGCCGCACUGGGACUGAGACACGGCCCAGACUCCUACGGGAGGCAGCAGUGGGGAAUAUUGGACAAUGGGCGAAAGCCUGAUCCAGCAAUGCCGCGUGUGUGAAGAAGGUCUUCGGAUUGUAAAGCACUUUCGGCGGGGACGAUGAUGACGGUACCCGCAGAAGAAGCCCCGGCUAACUUCGCGCCAGCAGCCGCGGU
rnacentral:rRNA from 1 species